UGCAACUCUGUAUAUACAUUCUAACUUAUUAACCUACAGGGUUUUUUUCUGAAGUGAGGCUACUGACCCUCCUUUAUGGAUCUGCACCAGAGCCCAGAUUAGGAAAUGGCUGCUUUUUCUUUUAUUAGACCUGUGCAGCCAGCAUAUCUUUGUUCUGGUUCCUUUACUGGAUAUAUUUUUUAAAAUACCUAUUAGUCUGUCUUGAAAGGCAGUAGGCUGACCUGCAGAACUUUUGUGGGUGGAGUAGGGCAUCUUUUAUGCUUUAUUUAUGGAAUUUACAGAAUUUUAAGGGGACCUAAAUUUUAAAACAUUGCCAACAUCAUGACCUUUUGUGGACUGAAGCUGUGCUUUUCCAUGACAACUGAGAAAAGAAAAGAGUGCUGGCAGCUUAUAAACGACAACUGAAAAGACAGGAAAAACCAUAUAAUCAGAAAGUCAGGUGACUGUUUUGUGAUGACAGAGUCAGUGGAGGACCCUGGAUUUUUCUACAGACUACUUGCCUCCUUUGCAGGCUGUAAAAUGCUUCACCCGUUCAGGAGCUGGCAGAAUGCCCACAAUGAGGGGGACUCUGGUAUUUCAGCAACGAAGCAUUCCAAAACACUUGUGCCACUAGUGGAAAAAGUCUACCCCUAUGUUAACGAUUGGGAGCCCAGUUUAAAAUGUGUUCUUCAAUGGACUCUAGUCGGAACACAGUAUGAGAAAUAUGACUCAGACUUGUAAGCAGCCACCUGUGUGGGCCCCUGCAAUGAUUAUUCCUAGAUAACCAGAACUCCACAAACAGGAGGGAGAACAGGAAGUACUCUCUGGCCUGCAGCUGAUGGUAUCAUUAUACAAAAAGAGAGGGGAAGCAAUCCUGCACUGACUGUCAAACAUGACUUGGCAGCAGAGUAACCAUAUCUAUGUCACUUGUUGGAUUUACCUCUUGAAAUACAGCCAUCUCUGAGAAGGAACACAGAUGUCUGAAUGCAGACAACAUUCUUAUUUCUUUAGGGCUUAAGAAGAAACCAGGGGCAUUGUAUCCCAUUUCGCUGCUGGAGGUGAAACGGGAAAUGCCCCCCUGCCCUGCUGCUGUCCCCCAGCA